CCUACGGGAGGCAGCAGUGAGGAAUAUUGGUCAAUGGACGAGAGUCUGAACCAGCCAAGUAGCGUGAAGGAUGACUGCCCUAUGGGUUGUAAACUUCUUUUAUAUGGGAAUAAAAUGUUCCACGUGUGGGAUUUUGUAUGUACCAUAUGAAUAAGGAUCGGCUAACUCCGUGCCAGCAGCCGCGGUAAUACGGAGGAUCCGAGCGUUAUCCGGAUUUAUUGGGUUUAAAGGGAGCGUAGGUGGAUUUUUAAGUCAGUUGUGAAAGUUUGCGGCUCAACCGUAAAAUUGCAGUUGAAACUGGCAGUCUUGAGUACAGUAGAGGUGGGCGGAAUUCGUGGUGUAGCGGUGAAAUGCUUAGAGAUCACGAAGAACUCCGAUUGCGAAGGCAGUUCACUGGACUGCAACUGACACUGAGGCUCGAAAGUGUGGGUAUCAAACAGGAUUAGAUACCCCUGUAGUC
rnacentral:rRNA from 1 species